AGACCAGUGGGCUAAUGUAGAAAUUAAAUCCUGCUAUUAAGAUUUAGUGAAAUUGUUUGGAUAAUUAAACAUUAAAGCCUGGAUUCCACACAACUUUUCAUAAACUAUAGAAGUGGCUUAACACCCUCAUCCUUUACUCACACAUAUCCUUCCACCCCUAGUAUGACUCAGAUAUUUCAUUGUCAAGGCCACAAAAACAAUGACUUCUUGUUCCAGAACAGAAAGAAAAGAGAGACCUAUCUUAGAAGUGAUUCGAAGGAGGGUGAAUCACCUUCAAAUUUACAGAGGUCUCGCCAUGUAAGGUUUCUGCAAUUAGGAGCCAUGAGUCAGAUCCAUCCCACUUCCAGUCUUACUUUUCUCUGUUUAGAAAACCAGAUAUUUUCAGAAAGGUGAAAUAAAUAGGACUGGUUCCAAAUUCAAUUGUGAAAUAAAGUUAGCUUAUGAUGGUU